AGCGAACGUUAGCGGCGGGCCUAACACAUGCAAGUCGAACGCGAAAGGGAUUCGUCCCCGGUAGCGUGGCGUCCGGGUGAGUAACACGUAGGAAACCUUCCCUAGAGAGUGGGAUAACGUCCCGAAAGGGACGCUAAUACCGCAUAAGCUCACACCGACUUUGGUCGGAGCGAGAAAAGAUGGCCUCUGUAAACAAGCUAUCACUUUAGGAUGGUCCUGCGGCGCAUCAGCUAGUUGGUGGGGUAAUGGCCCACCAAGGCGAAGACGCGUAGCUGGUCUGAGAGGAUGAUCAGCCACACUGGCACUGAAACACGGGCCAGACUCCUACGGGAGGCAGCAGUGGGGAAUAUUGGACAAUGGGCGCAAGCCUGAUCCAGCCACGCCGCGUGAGUGAUGAAGGCCUUCGGGUUGUAAAGCUCUGUGGGGAGAGGCGAAAACAGUCAGCAAGAAACGGCUGAUUCUUGACGGUAUCUCCUUAGCAAGCACCGGCUAACUCUGUG
rnacentral:rRNA from 1 species